rnacentral:rRNA from 1 species
GACGAACGCUGGCGGCGUGCUUAACACAUGCAAGUCGAACGGGCCUGUCUUCUUUUUUGGGGGGUGGGUUGAGUGGCGGACGGGUGAGUAUCACGUGAGUAACCUGCCCUUCGGUCCUGGAUAACCGCUUGAAAGGGCGGCUAAUACGGGGUGGUCCGGUUGGUCCGCAUGGGCUGGUCGGGAUAGAUUCACUGUUUUUGGUGUUUCGGCGGGGGAUGGGCUCGCGGCCUAUCAGCUUGUUGGUGGGGUGAUGGCCUACCAAGGCGGUGACGGGUAGCCGGCCUGAGAGGGUGGGCGGCCACACUGGGACUGAGAUACGGCCCAGACUCCUGCGGGAGGCAGCAGUGGGGGGUAUUGCACAAUGGGCGGAAGCCUGAUGCAGCGACGUCGCGUGAGGGAGGGAGGCCUUCGGGUUGUGAACCUCUGUUUCCGGUGGUGAAGGCCCUGUCCGUGUGGUGGGGUUGACGGUAGCCGGGGAUGAAGCGCCGGCUAACUACGUG